GACGAACGCUGGCGGCGUGCUUAACACAUGCAAGUCGAGCGGUAAGGCCCUUUCGGGGGUACACGAGCGGCGAACGGGUGAGUAACACGUGGGUGACCUGCCCUCAGCUCUGGGAUAAGCCUGGGAAGCCGGGUCUAAUACCGGAUAUGACUCCAUGACGCAUGUUGUGGGGUGGAAAGCCUUGUGCGGCUGAGGAUGGGCCCGCGGCCUAUCAGCUUGUUGGU
rnacentral:rRNA from 1 species